GAUCCUGGCUCAGGAUGAACGCUAGCGACAGGCUUAACACAUGCAAGUCGAGGGGCAGCGCGGGUAGCAAUACCCGCUGGCGACCGGCGCACGGGUGAGUAACGCGUAUGCAACUUGCCUAUCAGAGGGGGAUAACCCGGCGAAAGUCGGACUAAUACCGCAUGAAGCAGGGGCCCCGCAUGGGGAUAUUUGCUAAUCAUCGCUGAUAGAUAGGCAUGCGUUCCAUUAGGCAGUUGGCGGGGUAACGGCCCACCAAACCGACGAGGGGUUCUGAGAGGAAGGUCCCCCACAUUGGUACUGAGACACGGACCAAACUCCUACGGGAGGCAGCAGUGAGGGGUCAAUGGGCGUAAGCCUGAACCAGCCAAGUGCGUGAGGGAUGAAGGUUCUAUGGAUCGUAAACCUCUUUUAUAAGGGAAUAAAGUGCGGGACGUGUCCCGUUUUGUAUGUACCUUAUGAAUAAGGAUCGGCUAACUCCGUGCCAGCAGCCGCGGUAAUACGGAGGAUCCGAGCGUUAUCCGGAUUUAUUGGGUUUAAAGGGUGCGUAGGCGGCCUUUUAAGUCAGCGGUGAAAGUCUGUGGCUCAACCAUAGAAUUGCCGUUGAAACUGGGGGGCUUGAGUAUGUUUGAGGCAGGCGGAAUGCGUGGUGUAGCGGUGAAAUGCUUAGAUAUCACGCAGAACCCCGAUUGCGAAGGCAGCCUGCCAAGCCAUGACUGACGCUGAUGCACGAAAGCGUGGGGAUCAAACAGGAUUAGAUACCCUGGUAGUCCACGCAGUAAACGAUGAUCACUAGCUGUUUGCGAUACAGUGUAAGCGGCACAGCGAAAGCGUUAAGUGAUCCACCUGGGGAGUACGCCGGCAACGGUGAAACUCAAAGGAAUUGACGGGGGCCCGCACAAGCGGAGGAACAUGUGGUUUAAUUCGAUGAUACGCGAGGAACCUUACCCGGGUUUGAACGCAUUCGGACCGAGGUGGAAACACCUUUUCUAGCAAUAGCCGUUUGCGAGGUGCUGCAUGGUUGUCGUCAGCUCGUGCCGUGAGGUGUCGGCUUAAGUGCCAUAACGAGCGCAACCCUUGCCACUAGUUACUAACAGGUAAAGCUGAGGACUCUGGUGGGACUGCCAGCGUAAGCUGCGAGGAAGGCGGGGAUGACGUCAAAUCAGCACGGCCCUUACAUCCGGGGCGACACACGUGUUACAAUGGCGUGGACAAAGGGAAGCCACCUGGCGACAGGGAGCGAAUCCCCAAACCACGUCUCAGUUCGGAUCGGAGUCUGCAACCCGACUCCGUGAAGCUGGAUUCGCUAGUAAUCGCGCAUCAGCCAUGGCGCGGUGAAUACGUUCCCGGGCCUUGUACACACCGCCCGUCAAGCCAUGGGAGCCGGGGGUACCUGAAGUCCGUAACCGCGAGGAUCGGCCUAGGGUAAAACUGGUGACUGGGGCUAAGUCGUAACAAG
rnacentral:rRNA from 1 species